rnacentral:rRNA from 1 species
CCUACGGGAGGCAGCAGUGAGGAAUAUUGGUCAAUGGACGAGAGUCUGAACCAGCCAAGUAGCGUGAAGGAUGACUGCCCUUUGGGUUGUAAACUUCUUUUAUAUGGGAAUAAUAUGUUCCACGUGUGGGGUUUUGUCUGUACCAUAUGAAUAAGCAUCGGCUAACUCCGUGCCAGCAGCCGCGGUAAUACGGAGGAUCCGAGCGUUAUCCGGAUUUAUUGGGUUUAAAGGGAGCGUAGGUGGAUUGUUAAGUCAGUUGUUAAAGUUUGGGGCUCAACCGUAAAAUUGCAGUUGAAACUGGCAGUCUUGAGUACAGGAGAGGUGGGCGGAAUUCGUGGUGUAGCGGUGAAAUGCUUAGAUAUGACGAAGAACUCCGAUUGCGAAGGCAGUUCACUGGACUGCAACUGACACUGAGGCUCGAAAGUGUGGGUAUCAAACAGGAUUAGAUACCCCUGUAGUC